CGGGCUGGCCGGGCGACCGCGCCACACCGGGCUCACGCCGGGUGUGUCGAGGAAGGUCCGGGCUCCGCAGGGCAAGGUGGUGGGUAACGCCCACCCGGGGCAACCCGCGGGACAGUGCCACAGAGAGCAGACCGCCACAUCGGUUCGCCGAUGCGGUCAGGGUGAAAGGGCGGUGUAAGAGACCACCAGCGGCCGGGGCGACCCGGCCGGCUCGGCAAACCCCACCUGGAGCAAGGCCAAGAAGCCACCGAGAGGUGGUGCGCGCACGUUCGAGGGCUGCUCGCCCGAGUGCGCGGGUAGGCCGCUCGAGCCCAUCGGCAACGGUGGGCCUAGAUGGAUGGUCGCCCUUGCUGCCGGCUACGUGCAGCGAGACAGAACCCGGCCUAUUGGCCAGCCCGUCCC
rnacentral:RNase_P_RNA from 1 species